CAAACCUCUAAAAGUUGGUAUACAAAAGUAAUUAAUCAGCUUUUACAUCAGGUCAAAGUGCAGCUAAUGACGGGGAGGAAGUGGGUUACAACCUAUAAAUUGGACGAAUUACUAUUAUUAAAGUAGCAUGAAGGUGGACUUGAGUGUAAUAUUUAUAUAGUAUAAAUAUGGUACCAGAUCUGAAACAUGUACACAUCGCCCGUCACUCUCCUAUAAAGGGGGAAAAGUCGUAACAAAGUAGAUGUAAUGGAAAUUGUAUCUGU
rnacentral:rRNA from 1 species